GAUGAACGCUGGCGGCGUGCCUAAUACAUGCAAGUCGAGCGAACAGAUGAGGAGCUUGCUCCUCUGACGUUAGCGGCGGACGGGUGAGUAACACGUGGAUAACCUACCUAUAAGACUGGGAUAACUUCGGGAAACCGGAGCUAAUACCGGAUAAUAUAUUGAACCGCAUGGUUCAAUAGUGAAAGACGGUUUUGCUGUCACUUAUAGAUGGAUCCGCGCCGCAUUAGCUAGUUGGUAAGGUAACGGCUUACCAAGGCAACGAUGCGUAGCCGACCUGAGAGGGUGAUCGGCCACACUGGAACUGAGACACGGUCCAGACUCCUACGGGAGGCAGCAGUAGGGAAUCUUCCGCAAAGGGCGAAAGCCUGACGGAGCAACGCCGCGUGAGUGAUGAAGGUCUUCGGAUCGUAAAACUCUGUUAUUAGGGAAGAACAAAUGUGUAAGUAACUAUGCACGUCUUGACGGUACCUAAUCAGAAAGCCACGGCUAAGUACGUG
rnacentral:rRNA from 1 species